rnacentral:rRNA from 1 species
AGAGUUUGAUCAUGGCUCAGGAUGAACGCUGGCGGCGUGCCUAAUACAUGCAAGUCGAACGAGGUGCUUUGUAGCAAUACGAAGUAUCCUAGUGGCGAACGGGUGAGUAACGCGUUGGUGACCUACCCCAAAGUGUGGGAUAACAGUCCGAAAGGAUUGCUAAUACCGCAUGUGGUCUGCGAGUUUAGAAAUCGUUGACUAAAGGAGCAAUUCGCUUUGGGAGGGACCUGCGUCCCAUCAGCUAGUUGGUGAGGUAACGGCUCACCAAGGCGACGACGGGUAGGGGACCUGAGAGGGUGGCCCCCCACAAUGGAACUGAAACACGGUCCAUACACCUACGGGUGGCAGCAGUAGGGAAUAUUGGUCAAUGGGCGAAAGCCUGAACCAGCAACGCCGCGUGUGCGAUGAAGGCCUUCGGGUCGUAAACCUCUUUUCUGGGGGAAGAGCGAGGACGGUACCCCAGGAAUAAGUCUCGGCUAACUACGUGCCAGCAGCCGCGGUAAAACGUAGGAGGCGAGCGUUAUCCGGAUUUACUGGGCGUAAAGCGCACGCAGGCGGCUUGGUAAGUUGGACGUGAAAGCUCCUGGCUUAACUGGGAGAGGCCGUUCGAAACUGCCGGGCUUGAGGUUGGGAGAGGGGUGGGGAAUUCCCGGUUGUAUGGUGGAAUGCGUAGUAUUGGGAGGAACACCAGUGGCGAAGGCGCACCCUGGCCCACACCUGACGCUGAGGUUGGGAAGGCGUGGGAGCAAACAGGAUUAGAUACCUGGUAGUCCACGCUGUAAACCAUGUCAAACUAGGUGU